UAUGUGUUAGCUUACAUUUCCAAGUUGACGUGCUCUGUCAUGUAAAGGUUCUGCGUGAGAAGUUGAAUUAAUUUUUGUUUUCUAAAAGUGCGAGGUGUGUCAGCCUGCAAGAUAAGCCACAUAGUUAAAAGCGGAAAAUAAAGAUUACAACCUUUUGGUCUUUUUCAGAGUUAUAGCCAUAAUUCCUGUUAAAAUGUACUCUCCAAUGCGAACAGUUUUGUAACUCUUAUAGUCACUAUAUCUCCCCUAUCUCAUCAAUUAAUUUUGUGAUUCAAAUGUAAUCAUAACUAAUUGCCAAAACUAGCAAAAAUAUUACCCAUGCUGGUUAAACAUAAAUGUAAAAAAGUCAAUUGAGAGCAAUAGCCACAUGUAAUCACUUAAAAGUUAGAAAUGGAUGGUGGUACAAAUAAUGUUUUGAUAUAUUGUAUGAAAUGUAAUUUUGUUUCUCAAGUGUUAACUUAUUCACUUUUACCCCAGAAGGAAACACUGUCAUACACAUCCUGAUCAAGAACUUUCUUCCUCUUUUUUUUUUUUUUAAUUUAAUUUUUUCCCUCAUUCACUUUGGGUGGUGUUGGAAAAUGUGUCAGUUUAAGAGAUUAUGCUGACAUGGUCAACUCAUUACUACAACAACUGAGAGCUAGUGUUGCAUUUACACCAGCAGCUCUGUGAACUUAAAUCAACUUAGUACUUCCAGUACAUCCUGCUAUACCAAUAUAAUUUGUCUUGUAAAGAAAGUACCCUUAACAACCUACCUGUGAAUAACCAGCAUUUGUCUUCUUCUCUUGUUUUAUAGGUGGUGUGGGGCACAAACAUCAGCACACGAACACAGAGCGCGAAGCAGUGCAUUUCACCAUAUUUUGCUUAAAUUAUGAGUUUCAUAUACUAGGCAUACAAAUGGAUAGUUGCAAAUCAUGUUGCAGGAGUGGCUUUCAAUGUUACUCUAUGAAUUAAAUAACUGGCCCCCUAUAAACUGGUCACUAUAUUGAUCUGUUUUAACCAAUUU